ensembl:lncRNA
AGUGGGUUGAGCAAAACACGUAGACCCGGUUACCCAUAGAUGGACAGGCUAGAAAUGUUUUAACAGUUCAUUUUUUGGGGUGAAGCUUGCAUUCAAUUGCUACUCCUUGUUGCACACAACAAGCUUCCAUUCUCCCUGUCAUGAGGACAUUUAUGGCUGAUUUAAGAAGAAAUCGUCAACCCUGUUACUUUAUUUGGCACUUAAUAGGAACUUACCAUAGUCAUACUUUUUUAUUUAACCUCUUGAGAUGGGAAUACCUAUUUUUAUGAAGUUGAACAUGUGCUAUUUAUGACAGAAUGUUAACAUUUUGUGAAAUCAACAUUUUUUUUUUUUUUUUUUUUACCAAGUUACACUUCUCAAAAGGCAUUGAAUUGUUGGACGACCUAGAACAAGUUACAUUUCUCAAAAGGCACUGAAUUGUUGGACGACCUAGAACAAGUUACAUUUCUCAAAAGGCACUGAAUUGUUGGACGACCUAGAACAAGUUACAUUUCUCAAAAGGCACCGGAUUGGUGAAACAGCCCAGAACUUCAACUUUUUAAGUUGAUGUAAUAAUGAAUAAAUAUAUACGUAAGGACACAUAGAGGGCACAUUAUAGAUAUAUUAACUUUGAUAGCUAUAGUAUAAGUGUUUCUUUUUUUGCAAGUUUUGUCUUAUUGACUGUUGUUGUAGCAGUACUGCUGUGGGAUCAUGAAUCAGCAGUUGCGAAAUCCCCCUGUGUUAAAUGUGUCAUGGUGCUGUGCCAAACGUCCCUGCUGGGCCAUGCGCCUGAUGGGACACGACCAUACCAACCAUACCAAGAAGACAGGGAAUGGACAUUUGGUCCAAUUUACCAUGGCAGCGCCAAAUAGUUUGGUGGCAUGGCAUUCACAGCAUUUCAAUGAGCUAUCUGGUAUUGCUGUGUGUGCUAAAGCCCCACUCUGCUAGAUGUCUGUGGUGUGCAUAGCCCCAGUCCCUGCAGAUCAGCUGGGAUCAACUGUAACACUAUGGUGUUAACUUAUGUGUCUGGGGUGACUGAGGGGGUCUGUAUGUGGGAAUGGCCCUACAGUGAUGGACAGGGUAUGAUUACUCCUGCAUUCUUCACG